rnacentral:rRNA from 1 species
AGAACGAACGCUGGCGGCAUGCCUAAUACAUGCAAGUCGAACGAGACCUUCGGGUCUAGUGGCGCACGGGUGCGUAACGCGUGGGAAUCUACCCUUGGGUUCGGAAUAACAGUUGGAAACGACUGCUAAUACCGGAUGAUGACGAAAGUCCAAAGAUUUAUCGCCCAGGGAUGAGCCCGCGUAGGAUUAGCUAGUUGGUGAGGUAAAGGCUCACCAAGGCUACGAUCCUUAGCUGGUCUGAGAGGAUGAUCAGCCACACUGGGACUGAGACACGGCCCAGACUCCUACGGGAGGCAGCAGUAGGGAAUAUGGACAAUGGGGGCAACCCUGAUCCAGCAAUGCCGCGUGAGUGAUGAGGGCCUUAGGUUGUAAAGCUCUUUACCGAGAUGAUAAUGACAGUAUCGGAGAAUAAGCUACCGGCUAACUCCGUGCCAGCAGCCG